rnacentral:rRNA from 1 species
UACGAAGGGGGCUAGCGUUGCUCGGAAUCACUGGGCGUAAAGGGUGCGUAGGCGGGUCUUUAAGUCAGGGGUGAAAUCCUGGAGCUCAACUCCAGAACUGCCUUUGAUACUGAGGAUCUUGAGUUCGGGAGAGGUGAGUGGAACUGCGAGUGUAGAGGUGAAAUUCGUAGAUAUUCGCAAGAACACCAGUGGCGAAGGCGGCUCGCUGGGCCGGUCCUGACGCUGAGACGCGAAGGCGUGGGGAGCGAACGGG